rnacentral:rRNA from 1 species
GAUGAACGCUGGCGGCGUGCCUAAUACAUGCAAGUCGAGCGAAUGGAUUAAGAGCUUGCUCUUAUGAAGUUAGCGGCGGACGGGUGAGUAACACGUGGGUAACCUGCCCAUAAGACCGGGAUAACUCCGGGAAACCGGGGCUAAUACCGGAUAACAUUUUGAACCGCAUGGUUCGAAAUUGAAAGGCGGCUUCGGCUGUCACUUAUGGAUGGACCCGCGUCGCAUUAGCUAGUUGGUGAGGUAACGGCUCACCAAGGCGACGAUGCGUAGCCGACCUGGGAGGGUGAUCGGCCACACUGGGACUGAGACACGGCCCAGACUCCUACGGGAGGCAGCAGUAGGGAAUCUUCCGCAAUGGACGAAAGUCUGACGGAGCAACGCCGCGUGAGUGAUGAAGGCUUUCGGGUCGUAAAACUCUGUUGUUAGGGAAGAACAAGUGCUAGUUGAAUAAGCUGGCACCUUGACGGUACCUAACCAGAAAGCCACGGCUAACUACGUGCCAGCCGCCGCAGUAA